UGACCUGCUUGGGUUUGGUUACAAACAUU
rnacentral:piRNA from 1 species